CCUACGGGAGGCAGCAGUGGGGAAUAUUGCACAAUGGGGGAAACCCUGAUGCAGCGACGCCGCGUGAGUGAAGCAGUAUUUCGGUAUGUAAAGCUCUGUCAGCAGGGAAGAAAAUGACGGUACCUGACCAGGAAGCCCCGGCUAACUACGUGCCAGCAGCCGCGGUAAUACGGAGGGGGCAAGCGUUAUCCGGAUUUACUGGGUGUAAAGGGAGCGUAGGCGGCAGGGCAAGUCUGGAGUGAAAGGCGGAGGCUCAACCCCCGGACUGCUCUGGAAACUGCCAGGCUGGAGUGCGGGAGAGGUAAGGGGAAUUCCUAGUGUAGCGGUGAAAUGCGUAGAUAUUAGGAGGAACACCAGUGGCGAAGGCGGCUUACUGGACUGUAACUGACGUUGAGGCUCGAAAGCGGGGGGAGCAAACAGGAUUAGAUACCCCAGUAGUC
rnacentral:rRNA from 1 species